CCUACGGGAGGCAGCAGUGAGGAAUAUUGGUCAAUGGGCUUACGCCUGAACCAGCCAAGUCGCGUGAGGGAAGACUGCUCUAUGGGUUGUAAACCUCUUUUGUCAGGGAGCAAUUGGCGCUACGUGUAGCGUUAUCGAGAGUACCUGAAGAAAAAGCAUCGGCUAACUCCGUGCCAGCAGCCGCGGUAAUACGGAGGAUGCGAGCGUUAUCCGGAUUUAUUGGGUUUAAAGGGUGCGUAGGCGGAAUGCCAAGUCAGCGGGAAAAUCGCGGGGCUCAACCUCGCUCCGCCGUUGAAACUGGCGUUCUUGAGUGGGCGAGAGGUAUGCGGAAUGCGUGGUGUAGCGGUGAAAUGCAUAGAUAUCACGCAGAACUCCGAUUGCGAAGGCAGCAUACCGGAGCCCAACUGACGCUGAAGCACGAAAGCGUGGGUAUCGAACAGGAUUAGAUACCCCAGUAGUC
rnacentral:rRNA from 1 species